GUAGUAAUGCGUUGAGCUAACCCGUACUAAUUGCCCGUGAGGCUUAACCAU
rnacentral:rRNA from 1 species